CAGCCGCCGCGGGAAUACAGAGGGUGCAAGCGUUAAUCGGAAUUACUGGGCGUAAAGCGCGCGUAGGUGGUUUGUUAAGUUGGAUGUGAAAUCCCCGGGCUCAACCUGGGAACUGCAUCCAAAACUGGCAGGCUAGAGUAGGGCAGAGGGUGGUGGAAUUUCCUGUGUAGCGGUGAAAUGCGUAGAUAUAGGAAGGAACACCAGUGGCGAAGGCGACCACCUGGGCUCAUACUGACACUGAGGUGCGAAAGCGUGGGGAGCAAACAGGAUUAGAUACCCCGGUAGUCCCUGUCUCUUAUAC
rnacentral:rRNA from 1 species